CUUAAUGAUGAGAAGCAAAUUAUUACACAGACCUGUACUGAACUUUGCAUGUAGAUAACAUAAUUGUUAUUGCCUUUUUAUCUCUGAAA
rnacentral:snoRNA from 1 species